UGAGGCUGCCGGCGACAGAGUGAAAAUGACAAGCAGGCCCGGAGUGCACAGGCAGGCAGGUGUGAGCGUGGAGAUGCCACACGUGUGAAUGAAAACAGCACGUGGGAAGACACGUGUGAGCGACACAGGCACCUUAACAUGGAAGAGGCAGCAGAGAGCAGCACAGAACCCUCGCGCCUAGCAGCGGAGACCCUGUCCUGACCCUAGCAUCACCACUGACUCACGGGCCACCUGCAAGGCCCUCCCCUUCUGUUUCACAAUCUGUAAAGGAGUCUGUCUUAGAUUGACGUUUCCCAGCCUGGUUUGUCUCUCUGGAUCCAUGGUCAAAUAUCCAUUCUAUGCCUGGAUGAUUUCCGGACCCUGCUGCCAGAGCUUCGGAUUCAUUGGUCUGGUGUAGUGCUCAGGAAUCGGUGUGUCUACUAAAGCUCUGGAAGUGACCCUAGGACUGGGACACCCUGGCCUGGCAAGUUCUUGGGAAUCCGGACCAGGGCAGAAACUCAGCCAAGCCCCCCAACCCUUGCUCCCAGCCGGCUGCUCCGGGCAGCCUGACUCCAACGCCAGGAGGUGAGG
rnacentral:lncRNA from 1 species